GACGUCGGGUGCAAGCGUUUUUCGGACUCACUGGGCGUAAAGCGCGUGUAGGCGGUUCGAUAAGUCGGACGUGAAAGCCCGGGGCUUAACCCCGGAAGGGCAUCCGAAACUGUCGAGCUUGAGUACGGGAGAGGGAAGCGGAAUUCCUGGUGUAGAGGUGAAAUUCGUAGAUAUCAGGAGGAACACCGGUGGCGAAGGCGGCUUCCUGGACCGAUACUGACGCGGAGACGCGAAAGCGUGGGGAGAACACAGGAGGAGAUACCCCCGUAGUCC
rnacentral:rRNA from 1 species